GCGAGUAGUGAGGGGAUUUUUAAUGGUGUGGCUUAGUCGCCUAUAUUUACUUAUCAUAACGUUUUCGAAGCCAAUACGAAAAUAACGCAACGAUACAAC
rnacentral:antisense_RNA from 1 species